GACGAAGGAUGCAAGCGUUAUCCGGAUUCAUUGGGUUUAAAGGGAGCGUAGGUGGCCUUAUAAGUCAGUGGUGAAAUCUCUGGGCUUAACCCAGAAAUUGCCAUUGAUACUGUAGGGCUUGAGUAUAGUUCCGUUGGCGGAAUAUGACAUGUAGUGGUGAAAUACAUAGAGAUGUCAUAGAACACCGAUUGCGAAGCAGCUGCCGAAACUAUAACUGACACUGAGGCUCGAAAGUGCGGGGAUCAAACAGG
rnacentral:rRNA from 1 species